rnacentral:lncRNA from 1 species
GAUCCAGAAUCUAUCAUAGCUCUUCCUAUAUCCACAUCAUUAAUAACACAUGGAAGAGUCAAACUCCUGGAUCCUUCAUUUUAGGUGGAUGAUGUCUCUUUCUACACUGUGCACGUACUUCCUGUUCUUCUUCUUCAUCUAGAUUUAUCACCUCUGCAAGAUAAUAUUUUAUUCUCUUGGAGUAAACAGGAAUUUGGGGAGGAGUUUCAAUCAUGGGAACAACAGUCACCUGGUUAAAAUCUCCCUAAAUGGCCAGUAAUGCCUUCUUCUUUUCUCAUUGUCAAAAUUUUUUUCAAACCUCUCCUCUCUUUCUACUUCCUCACUUCUCUUAAUCUCUAUAUUUUCACUCAUCUCCUCAUCUUCCUCCUCACUGUUUUCCACCUCAAUAACUUCCUCUUCCGCUUUUCUUUUGCUCCUUGUCACAACAACUUUGCAUUCCUCCUUAGGGUUAACAUCAGUAUUAGCCUUAAAUUGGUUCUUUUCUAUGGUCUCCACCCUCUUUGGCAGUUGACCAAUCUGCAUCUCCAAAGUUCUGAAAUUGGCCUGGUGGCUUCAAAAGUUAGUUAAGAUUGACUGACUGGGUCAACUGUCUUAAAUGUGUAUUGAUUUGGUUGAAUG